UACGUAGGGUGCAAGCGUUGUCCGGAAUUAUUGGGCGUAAAGAGCUCGUAGGCGGUCUGUCGCGUCGGCUGUGAAAACCCGAGGCUCAACCUCGGGCCUGCAGUCGAUACGGGCAAGCUAGAGUACUGCAGGGGAGACUGGAAUUCCUGGUGUAGCGGUGAAAUGCGCAGAUAUCAGGAGGAACACCGGUGGCGAAGGCGGGUCUCUGGGCAGUAACUGACGCUGAGGAGCGAAAGCGUGGGGAGCGAACAGG
rnacentral:rRNA from 1 species